UAAACAUAGACAGUCCACAUACCCCACUGUCCGCCCGGGGACUACGAGCAUUAGCUUAAAACCCAAAGGACUUGGCGGUGCUUUAUACCCACCUAGAGGAGCCUGUUCUAGAACCGAUAACCCCCGUUCAACCUCACCCUUCCUUGUUCUUCCCGCCUAUAUACCGCCGUCGUCAGUUUACCCUGUGAAGGCCUAAUAGUAAGCAAAAUCGGCAUAGCCCAAAACGUCAGGUCGAGGUGUAGCGUAUGGAAGGGGAAGAAAUGGGCUACAUUCCCUAUCAUAGGGUAUACGGAUGAUUAUGCUGAAACGCAUGUCUGAAGGAGGAUUUAGCAGUAAGCAGAAAGUAGAGUGUUCUGCUGAAGCCGGC
rnacentral:rRNA from 1 species